AGCGAACGCUGGCGGCAGGCCUAACACAUGCAAGUCGAACGAACCUUUCGGGGUUAGUGGCGGAUGGGUGUGUCACCCGUCGGAACGGGCCCUCAGGGUUGGAAUAACUCAGGGAAACUUGUGCUAAUACCGAAUGUGCCCUUCGGGGGGAUGAUUUAUUGCCGUUAGUGGGGCCCGCGUCGGAUUAGCUAGUUGUUUCAGUUAAUGGUUCACCAAGGCGACGUUCGGUAGCUGGUCUGAGAGCGUGGUCAGCCACAUUGGGAGUGGGACCCGGCCCAGACUCCUACGGGAGGCGGCAGUGGGGGAUCUUGCGCAGUGGGCGAAAGGCUGACGCAGCCAUGCCGCGUGAAUGAUGAAGGUCUUAAGAUUGUAAAAUUCUUUCACCGGGGACGAUAAUGACGGUACCCGGAGAAGAAGCCCCGGCUAACUUCGUG
rnacentral:rRNA from 1 species